GACAAUGGGCGGGAGCCUGAUCCAGCCAUGCCGCGUGCAGGAAGACUGCCCUAUGGGUUGUAAACUGCUUUUAUACAGGAAGAAUAAGCCUUACGUGUAAGGUGAUGACGGUACUGUAAGAAUAAGGACCGGCUAACUCCGUGCCAGCAGCCGCGGUAAUACGGAGGGUCCGAGCGUUAUCCGGAAUUAUUGGGUUUAAAGGGUCCGUAGGCGGAUGAUUAAGUCAGGGGUGAAAGUUUGCAGCUCAACUGUAAAAUUGCCUUUGAUACUGGUUAUCUUGAGUUGUAUUGAAGUAGGCGGAAUAUGUAGUGUAGCGGUGAAAUGCAUAGAUAUUACAUAGAACACCAAUUGCGAAGGCAGCUUACUAAGUACUAACUGACGCUGAUGGACGAAAGCGUGGGUAGCGAACAGGAUUAGAUACCCUGGUAGUCCACGCCGUAAACGAUGGAUACUAGCUGUUCGGGGCCUUGAGCUCUGAGCGGCUAAGCGAAAGUGAUAAGUAUCCCACCUGGGGAGUACGUUCGCAAGAAUGAAACUCAAAGGAAUUGACGGGGGCCCGCACAAGCGGUGGAGCAUGUGGUUUAAUUCGAUGAUACGCGAGGAACCUUACC
rnacentral:rRNA from 1 species